rnacentral:lncRNA from 1 species
GCCCCUUACACACCAUUUCUCACUGAAUUGAUGUACCAGAAUCUAAAGAUGCUGAUUGACCCCGUUUCCGUCCAGGACAAGGACACACUCAGCAUCCAUUACCUCAUGCUGCCUUGUGUUCGAGAGGAACCGAUUGACAAGAAAACUGAGAAUGCAGUGUCUAGGAUGCAGUCUGCCGUUGAACUUGGGUGAGUGAUUCAGGACUGAAAAACUAUUCCAAUAAAGGUUUGAUGUUUUAUUUAGAUUUUAUAAGGCAUGCAGACCUAAAUAAUUGUCUUGGGUAAGCUUAAUAAAUAGAGUCUCCAACAGUAGAAGAAUUUAUUUUUCUUUUCUGCAGUAAAUGUAUGAAUGAUUUGGCAUUAGUUUAGCCUACUUAGUCUAGACUUUAAGAGUCAGAAAAACAUUUAUUAUUUCAUUUUUCUGGCAUUUAAAGGAAUGGCUACUUAAUGAAAUUUCAUCUUUCCUCCUAGUAUCCUUUGAAAGAAAUUGUGGUUAUCCAUCAAGAUCCUGAUGCUCUGAAUGAUAUCAGGUCCUCGGAGAAGUAUAUCCUUGAGGAAUUGAAUGUUCGUAAAGUUACACUGUAUAUGGAUAAAAACAAGUAUGGCAUUUGGCUACGGGCAGAGCCAGAUCACAUGGUCCUGGGAAAGCGUCUGAAGGGAGCCUUUAAAGCAGUGAUGGUGGCUGUCAAGCAGCUGAACGGUGAAGAGCUGGAGCAGUUCCAGAAGAGUGGGAGCAUUGUUGUGGAAGGCCACGAACUGCAUGAAGAAGACAUCCACCUUAUGUACACCUUUGACCAGACCACAGGUGGGACCGCACAGUUUGAAGCACAUUCGCAUGCUCAGGCUUUGGUUCUCUUAGAUGUCACCCCCGACCAGUCAAUGGUGGAUGAAGGAAAGGCUCGGGAAGUUAUCAAUCGCAUCCAGAAACUUCGCAAGAAGAUUUCAGGCAUCAUCACAACCCAUAACCCUAAGCAGGGGGGCUGGGAGCUGCAGAACAGGCCUGACCCAGAGAUGGUUUCUACCACCGUGGCCCGAGAGACCCAGCAGUCCUUGUUGUGUGUGGAAGGUGCUGGCCUUGUGUGGCUAAGAGCCCUGCCACUGCAACCAGGUGACUGUGAUGUAUCGUGAGUGUAAGGUACACACUCUUCUGAAGGAUUUGAAUUAAAAGAAAAAAUAUAAAAGAUCCUCAAAGUUUUCCAUGUCAAUUAUAUGUUGAAAUAUUAGUAUGUUCAAUAUAUUUGUAGUAAAUAAAAUAUAGUAUUAAAAUUAAGUCUACUUAUUUCUUUUUAUAAUGUGGUCAUUAGAGAGUCUAACAUUCCGGACAGCGCUUCCCUUCACUGUCUUUGUUCGCUCUUACUCUUUGCUCUGAGUUUUGUUUAUACCUCUGACCUUGCUGGAUUCCCUGUUUGUUAUUUUUUGUCUCUUCCCCUAAAAGGAAAGCUUAGCAAGGUCGAGAACUUUGUAUCCACCCUCUGUGGCACCUGAUAGAUCCCAAUCAGUAUUUUUUGAAUGAGUGAAUUUAUCCGCCAGUGUUAAUAUGUAAGUGCAUGUUGCUAUUGAGUUGAUGAUCUGAUGCUAUAUUCUGUAAAUAAGUAAUAGCACAGAUAUUAAUUUUGGAAUGUGAGGUUUGUUUUUUUCUUUUUUUUUUAAUAUAGCUCCUGGAAAGUUUUAUAGAUCUUGGUACCAUCCCUCAUGACUAAGGAACUACUACAGAACAUAUUUUCCUUUUAUUCUCCCAUGCCUUCAUAAUGGCCUGUAUUCCCCAGUGCUUUUAGAAAAUGUUUUGUUUUGAGGCAGUGUCUUGCUAAGUUGCCCAGGGUGCAUUCAAAUUUUCAAUCCUCCUGCCUCAACUUCCAGGAGUGUUGGGAUUAUAAAGUGUGCACCACCAUGCCCAGUUUAAAUUUCUAAUCUGAUUAAUGUGAAAUAGAAAGAAAAGGGGCAAAGGGGAAGGGGAAGUGGGAGGGGUAGGGGAAAGGAAAGAAGGGAAUAGAAUUAAUAUGGAAAAAUGAAAAAAUGGAAACAAA